CACGUGCAAAUUUUAGAAUUGUCUGUAAUUUUUCCUGCUAUAAAUUUUCUCUUUUGCAAGAAAUUUGAAUUGCAGUUUUUAAAUUGCACAAUGGUUUUAUGAUUAUUUUAGUUGCAUGAGAAUUUUAUAAUAUUGCCUAUGUCCCAGCAAGCCUACAAAGUCAGGAGAACACACAAACUCAAAAGAAAAAAAAAGCAGCCAGCGGGGUGAGUAUAAUCGGGUAGAAAUAGCUAUAAAAAAAUCAAUCAAUUGCUAGCCAGUACUACCAUCGACGUUCUCAGUCGACUGAGCCCAAGCGAGUCCCGAAAGCAUAAGAAAGACUCUGCAUCCGGGGACUAGCUAAUUAGGAGUAAAUCGGAACGGAGACUUCCCCCUUUUGCAUGGGAC
rnacentral:lncRNA from 1 species